GAGCAGGGCAGAGAACGCUCCUGAGAGUCAAAGUCAAGUUCAGAACCAACAGAGACAAAGCCAUGGGGAAGGGAGCCAGUGAGCCCUCUGGGCAGGCAAGGAACUCUGCUAUGAAGGAGUUCUAACAAGGGAAAAAACAGUUGGCACAGUUAUGGACAAUAAUGGUGUCUAAAUAUGUCUAAUAGCAUAGAAGGAGAAUAUGAACCAGGACACAUGGGCGGCACAUUUGGUUAAGCUGCAGCUGUUGGCUCAAGUCAUGGUCUCAGGGUCCUGGGAUCAAACCCUACAUCAGGCUCCUUACUCAGCGGGGAGUCUG